rnacentral:rRNA from 1 species
GAUGAACGCUGGCGGCGUGCCUAAUACAUGCAAGUCGAGCGAACAGACGAGGAGCUUGCUCCUCUGACGUUAGCGGCGGACGGGUGAGUAACACGUGGAUAACCUACCUAUAAGACUGGGAUAACUUCGGGAAACCGGAGCUAAUACCGGAUAAUAUAUUGAACCGCAUGGUUCAAUAGUGAAAGACGGUUUUGCUGUCACUUAUAGAUGGAUCCGCGCCGCAUUAGCUAGUUGAUAAGGUAACGGCUUACCAAGGCAACGGUGCGUAGCCGACCUGAGAGGGUGAUCGGCCACACUGGAACUGAGACACGGUCCAGACUCCUACGGGAGGCAGCAGUAGGGAAUCUUCCGCAAUGGGCGAAAGCCUGACGGAGCAACGCCGCGUGAGUGAUGAAGGUCUUCGGAUCGUAAAACUCUGUUAUUAGGGAAGAACAAAUGUGUAAGUAACUAUGCACGUCUUGACGGUACCUAAUCAGAAAGCCACGGCUAACUACGUG